AGGUGCUCGAGGCGGAGGUACACGAGCGGUGGUCGUUGGAGAACCUCCAAAAGGGCUUGCGGCUUCCCAUUCAAUCCCUUUUCCCAAGUGUCCUGGUCCCAUUUGACUUGUGAGUAGUCAUCAAGUUCAGCACCCAGCCAGCAGGAAGAAAAUUGCGUUUGCAGAUUUAUUUGACUUUUAUACCACUUGGAAGUUGGAUGGAUGGCUGAAGUUUUAUGCUUGGCCAUUUAGUUUCCCACCACAGAUUCGAGCUCCCGAAGUCUGUUCUGGUGCAGCCUGUUAGAAUGUGGGAGGAGAUGGAAGUGUUUAACUGAUGACAGCCCAUGCAAGUAGAUUACUUACAAAGUCAACAUCUUUAAGUACCUUGGAUGAUAAAGCUAAAUAAUUUGACUCUCUAAAUAUUAGAUGAUGAAUGAUUUAUGAAUCAUUCACAGUGAUCAAGUAUAUGGGCAAUGCAUUGAAGCAACUGCAACACUGCUGACUUCAUCCCACUAGAUUCUGCAUCACAACUCCACAUUAUCAAGCAAGUAGCAGACUAAAUACACUAAUUAUGACCAUCCAAACUUUGUUUUUGGAUGUCAAGAGUUUCCUGAAGCCACAUUUGAACUUGGCAGGUGAGCAACUGAGAUGGAGAGAGAGGCACCAGUAUUUGCUAAAAGGAAUUGAAGAUGUUUUCUCUACCUUCCUCAGUUAUUGGACUCAACAAAAGCAGUGACUCCCAUCAUCAACAAAAGAGAGAAUCAAUGUAAAGUUUUGCUUGCUGUUGUCCUUGAAGGAUACAAUUAAUCUAUGUGCAUAAUUGUGUUUGAGAUUUGCAUCAAGACAAAAAAGCAUCAUUAA